rnacentral:rRNA from 1 species
CAGAGGUCCCGAGCGUUGUUCGGAUUCACUGGGCGUAAAGGGUGCGUAGGUGGUGGGGUAAGUCGGAUGUGAAAUCUCCGGGCUCAACCCGGAAACUGCAUUGGAAACUACCUUGCUAGAGGUUUUGAGGGGGGGACUGGAAUUCUCGGUGUAGCAGUGAAAUGCGUAGAUAUCGAGAGGAACACCAGUGGCGAAGGCGAGUCCCUGGAAAACACCUGACACUGAGGCACGAAAGCUAGGGGAGCAAACAGGAUUAGAUACCCUGGUAGUCCUAGCCCUAAACGGUGCUUGCUUGCUGUAAGUGGAAUCGACCCCACUUGUGGCGGAGCUAACGCGUUAAGCAAGCCGCCUGGGAAGUACGGUCGCAAGAUUA